UGGGACGUAGUAACUCCACCUUACUUCUGAUUACUUCUUCAGGAAAAGGAGCCUCCAAUGGUUGGAUAGCAGCGUUUGCGUCCACAUCUGCUAUUUUCCUGGUGAUCAUCAUGAUCCUCACUGUCCUCAUGAUCAGAAGAAAAAAGUCUCCACCAAGCAGCCGGCCUGCAGAGAGA